rnacentral:rRNA from 1 species
CAGUAGCCGCGGUAAUACGUAGGGUGCGAGCGUUAAUCGGAAUUACUGGGCGUAAAGCGUGCGCAGGCGGUAAUGUAAGACAGAUGUGAAAUCCCCGGGCUCAACCUGGGAACUGCAUUUGUGACUGCAUUGCUGGAGUGCGGCAGAGGGGGAUGGAAUUCCGCGUGUAGCAGUGACAUGCGUAGAUAUGCGGAGGAACACCGAUGGCGAAGGCAAUCCCCUGGGCCUGCACUGACGCUCAUGCACGAAAGCGUGGGGAGCAAACAGGAUUAGAUACCCCCGUAGUCCCUGUCUCUUAUAC